ACACCUGGUCUACGUAUACUAAAGGCACCAUAUCACAUCUGUUCUUGGAAGCUAAGUAGGAUCAACCCUGGUUUGUACUUGGAUGAGUGACUGGCAACAAACACAAGAUGUCGGAGGAA
rnacentral:rRNA from 11 species